ensembl:snRNA U6 U6 spliceosomal RNA
AUUCACUUUAGCUACAUAUAUACUAAAACUGGAAAAAUACAGAGAUCAACAUAGCCUGUGCAAGAAUGACACAAAAAUUUGUAAAGUAUUGCAAAUUUUU